GUGCAGAGUUUCUCGUACACGAGUGAAAACAGCACCGGAUGAAAGCUGGGCCCGCAGACCUGAGCUACAGCUCUUCCACGAGCUUUAACACAGAGCUGGCAGACAGGACAGCUUUUGCUGCUGGGUCCAGUUCUGUCAUCUGUCCUUUCCUACCUGGACCCUGGCAUGGCUCUACAGUUAUGCUAGAACACUCCAUUUCUCCAUAUGUCUUGUGUCCUUAACUCUGGUGAUAGCUUACUACUUCCGUUUACUAGUUCUUGUUUUCUCAUCCCUCCUCCUCCUCCUCUAUAUCUUACCUUAUGCCAGGGAUUGAACCCAGGACCUUUGCUUGUCAGCCAAGCAUUCUGCCACUGAGGCACACUUUCAGGCCCGAUGACAAAUCUGUAGUGUAGUCUCCAUUGCUUAGUGGGUUGUAAUGACCCGGGGCUGAGGGCGUGAAGGAGAGAAGCAGGAGGAGCCGGGAGCGUGAACUCUGUAGGAACUUGAUGACUUCUGGUAUGCUAGGUAAAGCGGUUGACUCUCUCACCUCCCACUCUCCCUGUCCUCUGGCUUGCUUCUCUUGAGAGGCUCUUCACCUAGCUGGUUCUGAGCCGCUUCCAAGGCACCCGAAGAAGGAAAGGAAUACAGGAAGAGAAAAGCACCAAGAUAUGAUCAGUCAAAGAGUAUUUAGGAAAAGGAAAAUAUGACAAGAGAUUUGGUGAAUGUUGAAUAGAAGGGUAAAUGUGAGCUAGAAGAGAGUUAGAGAGAGAAGAUUGAGAAAGGGGAGAGAGAGAGAGAGAGAGAGAGAGAGACUUGCUGAGUGAACUGGGGACUGUGUCUCCCAGGCAGGGUGGCAGAGGUUCCUAUAAGGCCUUAAAGAUGUCUGGUAGACAAACCUAGAACAUUCCUGAGAGAAAGGGGAGGUGUUUAGUGCUACCUGGGAAGGUCAUUAUGUGUUUGAGGUCUGGCUGGGACUGUCUGUUUUCACUUUUGGAACAGGUAACAGGUUUCCAACCAGAGUUCAACAUUUUGUUGCUUAAGAUUUCAUUUUUAUCUGUGUCUGUCUGUCCAUCCAUGUAUGUAUGUAUGUAUGUAUGCAUGCAUGCAUGCAUGUAUAUUUGUAUCUAUGUAUGUAUCUAUUUAUGUAUCUAUCUAUAUAUGCAUGUAUGUUUGUAUCUAUAUAUCUGUAUGUCUAUAUAGUAUCUGUCUGUCUAUCUAUCUAUCUAUCUAUCUAUCUAUCUAUCUAUCUAUCUAUCUAUCUAUCUAAUUUUUGUUGGCUGCAAGAAGCCUAACACUUGUCAGGGACAGGCUUCCUCCUUGGGGUAGAUGGGAGGGGGACCAGAACAGGGCAGGCUCCCACUUGAAUUGUGUCCAUACACACAUUUUUCCAGCCAGUCCUACCCUUUGCAGGAGGCUAGUGAACAUUUAACUAUGAAUAGCCGGCUCACAUCUGCUUCUAUUUUUCCCCUUUCUGCAGGCCAGACUAAAAAACUUAAUAAAUUGUAUGAAACCUAAGUAAGCAUGGAUUUUAGAGAACAUUAAAUAAAUUACAUAAGUAUGUCUACCUGUAACACUGUUAUAAGGUAAAUGCAGGAGGGUUAGUUUACCAUAAAUGUACACAUGAACGGAGCGUUAGUCUAAAGCCCCCUUGUUUCAGCGCCGCCCUCAUGAAAGUAGUACUGUUCCCAGUUCCCCUUCUUUCCCUCCCUGGCAAGCACUGUCCUGGGCUUGGAAAACGUGAUAAUGAUGCCGUAAGUACCCUUGUGUAAAACUUGUUUUUUUGUUCCAAAACAUUGCCAGUUCACGGCACAUAAAAACCGCCACAAUCCUUCAGCCAGUUUUCCUUCUCCCCAAAUAAGGCAAGCGUUAAUGAAGCAGCCGAGGGCCUGGGAAAAUAUUUGCUAUUCCUUAAAAUGAAAUUUCUCCUGUUCUUGGGGGGCAAGCUCAUAGACUGUCCAGCUCAAGUGAGCCAGUGUCUAGCUAGACAUUCAGUAAAACUUGUUUAUUCCUAGUAUGACUUCAAGCAGCCUUCCAUCCAUGUAGAGUUGUCCUGUCCCAUCCUGUGUGACAUCUGUGACUGGAAGCCACAUGGGAAGGAUGCCUAGGUUAUCCCAGUCUACAGAGAGGAAAGUGCAGUCCAGCCAGGCUCCCUGACCUGUCUCUAGGCCUGGCAGACCCCUAGCUUCCGAUGCCUGCAGUUAGGAAUAAAGUGCAGGGGUCAGGUAGUUCUGAGGUAGAGGUAGACUCACUCACUUUCACUACUUGGCUUCACUAGGUGUUUAGGGGUUCCUGUUCAUGGUCCAAGUGCUUGGCAAAUGACAGCUCUUCUGCAUAAAUUCCAGACUACCCUCAUCAUUCUUACCUGGCCAGUGUCAUGCACUGGAGCAAGAAAUGACGUAGUUUCAGGGAGCCAGUGGAUAUUCUCUUCAACACUACUCUUUCUCAAUUCCGAUGCAUCAUGAAUUGUAAGAUUUGCCCAAAUAAUGGGUUUUCAAGGAGAGAAGAAACACAACUAUGUUGAGUUUGUACAAUUAGGCACCCCCAAGAGUAGAAAAGUAGAUCUGAAGAAGUGAUGUUAGAACCGAGGGGGUAAUGCUCGUGCGGGGGGUGGAUGGGGAGGCAUCUCAAAGUCAGCAGGCUGUCCUAGCUUUGAGAGACAUGCACUAAGACAGUUCCAAACAUACUUUUGGUUGCACAAAGGGGAGGCAUUGACCAGAUCAGUAUUAAAAGAAUAACUUGUGAGCCUGCAGUCAUGAGGGGCAGUCAGCGACUGGGAGGAGUCGAGCAAUUGAUUUUGCAGGAGCCCAUGAACAGAGACCAUGCGGUGGUUCCAAGUUUGCACUUUGUUUUUGGCCACUUGGAAGAAUACCGGCAUUGAAAGAGGUUGGAUUUUGCUUCUCGUGGCACACACUAAAAGCAUGUCUACCUUCCAGCCUCCCCUCAGCCCAGCUCCCCACCGGGAGAAGUUGGUCUGCAGCGUGAAUGGGAACAAUGACCGUAGAGUCUUCACCAGAAGACAAUACCAGAGCGUUUAGUGCUCUGCCAGGAAGAGUGGACCCCGCACAUUAAUUAUCCUUAAUAUAAAUGUGGUGCAUUUGAACAUCUAGAUGAAGAAUGCAGCAAAGAAUAUGCAUUUCUGCCAUGAGUGACUUAGAAUAUGUCAACAUAAUGGCCCUUGGUUAUUAACACAUUAUGUGAAUUGGACAAUGAUAUACACUUUGAGGACCUUGAACUAGAUCCACCAGCUAAGAGCCUGUAGGACGGGCUCCAGAAGCCUGGGAAUUC
ensembl:sense_intronic Ppnr per-pentamer repeat gene